CAAGAAAAUCAAAUAAUUUAUUAAAAAGUCAUCAGAAUCAGGAGUUUUUCUUAAUUAAUCCAACAGCCACGUUUAACGAACGCUUUAUAAAAACAAAUAAGCUCAGCCAACAUGCAUAUAGUUUACACAGUUAAAACAAAUGAUAACAGUAAUUUCUGCUGUUGGUCGUCCUAGCAACCGCAGCAGUUGUCGUCGUCGACGACAUUCAUAAUGGCCUGAUUAGCUUGGGCGGCGCUGGUGUGGGCAAAAGCUCCAUCAUCAAACGUUUCCUCUUCGUCUAUGUAGGUCACAGACAAAUAUCAUGCUACGGUUGAGGAUCUCCUUAAUAGCGAAUAAGAUCUGGGCGGGAUUACACUGAAGAGCAAAACUGCUGGAGUGCUCCGCCAAAAAAGGUCAGAACGUGACCGACAUCAUCAAAACGUUGCUGUCACUGUCCAGAUUUCUGCCUGACGAGGACAUAAAUGAUGGCACAAGUGUACUCAAGCGACAUACUACGGCAUACAUAUGUUAGCGCAUCUUCAAGUAGAAAUACGAAUCGCAACGCCAGUCCUUCCGUUUCCGGUGAUAAAAAGUACAGCUUGGUUAAAGCUGUUGGGUGUUGCAGUCACCAGCAGCAACAAUGCCGAAAUAAAGCCCAGAUCUAGGUCAGCAUGUAGAUCAUUAGUCCUCUAUAUAUUUACUUCCCAUUACUUUAUGGGAUGCUGUGUAAAUAAAUGGCUUAUAAAGAAUGUGCUCCAAAUCACAGGUCACUCAUACGCCUUGCCGCACGCAAAACAAAACUGUAAAUUAACAACGCGUCCGACAACUAUAAUUUGCAAUAAAGUAGCGGAGGAAGGAGGUGCGUAAGGUUCAUUAGGCGUAAAUUGUUGCAAGCAAAUAUGUAUAAAAAAACACAAAAGCAAAAGGACAAUAACAACAAUAAUAAGCAGCAAAAGCAAAAAAAGCUCGAAGACGCAAAUGGCAACUGUUGACACAAUCGCACCAUAAAGACCCGAAUGCAGAAGGGAAUUGAAACGCACGUCUAACCGGUCUAUGUUAAUGGGUCAGCAAAGUUUAAUGAACUUGCCACAUAAUAAUUAAUAUUAAUGAACUUAACAUUAAAUACCUAAGUUGAGAACAAAACAGAGAAUAAAAUCACUAAUUUAAUACAGCUAGAUGUUGACACUGGUCUCGGUGAAUGCGAUUUACUUUAAAGUCAAAUGCCUAAGUCCCGUCAAGGAGUUCUCAACUUAAUUUGACGAGUUUCAGAUAAGCGACUGACAAACGUUUACGCCGAUGAGCGUGUCAAUAAUGGCGAGUUAGUGGAUUUGGAUCCGAAAGCUAUUGAGUUGCGCUGCAAGAAUUCGGAUUUGUCAAUAUGAGUGCAUUUGCCCAAUAAAGUUGAGCGCUUAGUGGCGUUGGCUACCUAAUCCCCGCUUGGGUGGUAAGAUCGAAGUCAUCUAACGGUAGACCCAGGAAAAGUGCUGUUUCGACGGGGUCGGACCAUAUUGCGCAAAAUAUUAGAUCGUCGAGCGUAUUGGUAGCGCAAGUGUUGACAAAUCUUUGCAAAGUUUCGCAUUGAAUUCGGAGCGAAUCUGAAGAAACCGCUGCUAUUAUUGCGUUGGGUAUGGUAAACAUGUUCAGCUAGACAACUGAUUUAAGCAGCCUUUUUGCGGCAAGUCAACAACAAAAACUUUACCAUGUCAAACACAUAGUGUUCCUCGAUUUGAAAGAGUUGCCGAGGCCACAUUUAUGAAAAUCGUACAUAUGAGCCUGAUUUUGGAUUAGAGAGUACUCAAGACGGAUCAUCCAUUUGUACUUUUUUUUUGUGCAUUUAAAAAGCAAUUAAAUGUAACGUUUUGAAAGUAUAUCGAAUAUUUUUGUAAAACACUUUUUAAUUUCAUAAAAAUUAUAUUAACUUAAAUUUAAACUCAUGAAAAUCAAGCAAAGGUUAAGUUUUGCGGAGGUGUACUGGCUUCUUAGGUCAAGAUCUCGUAUAAGCCUAAAGAACAAGCUGUUCAUUUAUAAGGCAAUACUAAGGUCAAUCUGGUCGUAUGGAAUCUAAAUCUGGGGCAGCUAAGCUGAAUCAAAUUAUAAAAUUAUUAAAGCCUGUCAGAAUAGAGUAGACCUAGUUUGGGUGCAUCUUUCUAAAUGUAAAUCGACGUCCUCCAUCGAAGCCUAAAGGUGCCUUUUGUAAAAGAAACUAUUAAUGAAUUUUCUAGCUUUUACCUCUUAAACAUCCAUGAAAAUGUACUGACAAUCCAACUGCUGGACAGUAGUCAAUGUGGAAUAUUUUCAAUAUAUCACCUAUUAGACUUUUGUACUUUGAAAACUACUCCUGUAGACCCUCAUUAAUACUAACUUGUAUCUAUAAUUAUACUUCAACAAUUUUUUAUUUGAAAAAAAAUUUACUUAUUGCCAUUACAAUGAGAAAGAUUCUAAACAAAAUGGAAUAUUAAAAAAUAAAGCACAAAAAAAACGUAAGUUCGGUUACACCGAAACUAUUAUAAUACCUUUCACAAAUAAAACAAUUUGUACGGGGUUUGUACCGUUGUCUUGAGCAGUCCAUGCCAAAUUUGGUGUAGAUAAUUUUUCAAAUAAAAAAGUUUUCCAUACAAGAACAUGUAUUAGAUUCUUCAGUUUGUAUGGCAACUAUAUGCUAUAGUUCUCCAAUAUCAACAAUUCCGACAAAUUAGCAGCUUUUUGGGAAAAAAAGGGCGUGGGCUAAAUUUCAGUUUGAUAUCUCAAAAACUGAGAGACUAGUUCGCAUAUACCCUUCUUCUAUAUGACCUUUUAACAGAAAAAAUCGGUCAAUGUGUGAAAUGUAUUAUUGCAGUUCAAAGAAAAUUAUUUCUGAUAAUAAUGUGCUCUCCUGUUAAAAAUUUGUAAAAUCGGAUGAAUACUCCCCUAGCUCCAAUAAACCUAAUACAAGGAUUUUCAAACUUGCGGUUGACUUCAUACUAUAUGUCGGUUAAUAUGUAAGAUAUCUUAGUAAUAUUAAGUUAACGUCUAGUAUUGCAUAUACAAUAGUUUAAUGCCAAAAAUGUGUGAAAUCGAUCCUCGAGUUACCCCAACCUUUGUAGUAUAAUGGUUUCGCAACAUAUUCUCGAAUAUACUUGAGUAUAGCCAAAAUUUAAUAUACUCAGUCGAGACCUUCUCCUAGCCCCAAUAUACUUGAUCCCAUGUUAAACCGUUUAUGUUGAUUAAAAUGAAUGAUAUUUUAAUGAAAUUGGUCUAGACCUUCGUUUAAACUGUAUUUCCCUAUUAUAAUGAUUUCCGAUUCUCUGUUUGAUUUAUGCAGAUUAUAUCACAUACAUGGUAAAUACUAUGUUCCUUAUUUGAAAACACAUAUAUCUCGUUUAAAAAUUUCGAUUUUAUUCAUAAAUGAUUACAUAACUUAGUUAUACUGGUAAUGUUCCUAUAAUAGAUUUAUAAACUCUUUAAAAUGUUGUUAAGCGUUUUUAAACAUGUAUAACAUAAACAGAUAUGUAUUAACUUAGAUGUAGAGCAAUGAAUUAAUAAAUGAUUUAACAAAUAUAUGUACAUAUAUUAAACGUGAUUAAAAUAAACUGCAUGAUGUAAUAAAAUUAA